rnacentral:rRNA from 1 species
CCCCUAGAUGUUCUGGGCCGCACGCGCGCUACACUGAACAGUUCAACAAGUCUUAACCUUGGCCGAUAGGUCUGGGUAAUCUUUGAACGCUGUUCGUGAUUGGGAUAGACCUUUGCAAUUAUGGGUCUUCAACGAGGAACUCCUAGUAAACGCAAGUCAUCAGCUUGCAUUGAUUACGUCCCUGCCCUUUGUACACACCGCCCGUCGCACCUACCGAUUGAAUGGUCCGGUGAAAUCUCGGGACGGCGGCUUGGUCGCUUGCGUCCGACUGCUGAAACUUGAUUAAACCAUAUCAUUUAGAGGAAGGUGAANUCGUANCA